AUUGAACGCUGGCGGCAGGCCUAACACAUGCAAGUCGAACGAGUGGCGGACGGGUGAGUCAUGUCUGGGAAACUGCCUGAUGGAGGGGGAUAACUACUGGAAACGGUAGCUAAUACCGCAUACCAUCGGAUGUGCCCAAAUGGGAUUAGCUAGUAGGUGGGGUAAAGGUUCACCUAGGCGACGAUCCCUAGCUGGUCUGAGAGGAUGACCCGCAAAACCGGAACUGGGACACGGUCCAGACGCCUCCGGGAGGCAGCAGUGGGGAUGAUUGCACAAUGGGCGAAAGCCUGAUGCAGCCAGGCCGCGUGUAUGAAGAAGGCCUUCGGGUUGUAAAGUACUUGCAGCGGGGAGGCGUUACCCGCAGAAGAAGCACCGGCUAACUCCGUGCCAGCCGCCGCGGUAAUAC
rnacentral:rRNA from 1 species